rnacentral:tRNA from 1 species
CGCCAACCGAGAGGCGCCAACGGCGGGCUCAGGAAUCGACUGGUUCCGAGCGGACUCGUGGAGCUGCUGCUUGGAUUAUCGUAGAGUAAGAGGAGCGUUAGGAAAUGACUUAACUUAAAAAACAGAUGCCGCCGCUGCGAGGCGAGGAAGUCACUUGUCUGGUCUUGCGGUGCACCCACCCCCGUCUCGAGAAUUAAAUCACGCCCUAGCUCGACUCGAGACCAAGACUCCUUACAACUCGCACCAAUAGCAGCACUGAGCGGCCAGAGAUUGAUUGAAAGGGCAGCCCCCUUAAAUUUAAUGAUUGUGAUCAAGAGCACACACUGGACCUGACUCACUAAUCAUCAUCUCAUCGGGCGCGAAGCAAAAAAAAAAGAGGAGCAGUGUAACUGUCCUUCCUUCCCAGCCCAAACCCCCUAGGCGCCUACCUACUCGUGCUCGUAGCUCGAUCGGAGGUCAAGAGUAUGGUCCGGCGGAAAAACGGAAGUCGUCCGUAUCAAGUGAUACGUGAAUUGCUCAGUAGUGCUUCGCCACUACCGUAGCUGGCGGAAAUAGCUUAAUGGUAGAGCAUAGCCUUGCCAAGGCUGAGGUUGAGGGUUCAAAUCCCUCCUUCCGCUCCCGGCUUCGUCGUUUAGUGGUAACGAGUGGAGUGCAUAAGCCCCUUUAGAGAUAGGGGCGAGCAGCAAGCAGCCCCCUGUAUAGGGCUCCGAACCUAUCUUACUAAUAAUAAGAAAGGGGCAAGCCAAACCCUACUCCUAACAAGUUGCUGGCUUUUCCGCCGUUGCGCGCUAGCGCGCUUCCG